UGGGGAAUUUUGGACAAUGGGGGAAACCCUGAUCCAGCCAUCCCGCGUGUGCGAUGAAGGCCUUCGGGUUGUAAAGCACUUUUGGCAGGAAAGAAACGUCGCGGGUUAAUACCCCGCGAAACUGACGGUACCUGCAGAAUAAGCACCGGCUAACUACGUGCCAGCAGCCGCGGUAAUACGUAGGGUGCAAGCGUUAAUCGGAAUUACUGGGCGUAAAGCGUGCGCAGGCGGUCCGGAAAGAAAGAUGUGAAAUCCCAGAGCUUAACUUUGGAACUGCAUUUUUAACUACCGGGCUAGAGUGUGUCAGAGGGAGGUGGAAUUCCGCGUGUAGCAGUGAAAUGCGUAGAUAUGCGGAGGAACACCGAUGGCGAAGGCAGCCUCCUGGGAUAACACUGACGCUCAUGCACGAAAGCGUGGGGAGCAAACAGGAUUAGAUACCCUGGUAGUCCACGCCCUAAACGAUGUCAACUAGCUGUUGGGGCCUUCGGGCCUUGGUAGCGCAGCUAACGCGUGAAGUUGACCGCCUGGGGAGUACGGUCGCAAGAUUAAAAACUC
rnacentral:rRNA from 1 species